UACUUCCGGUUUGAAUCACGAGUUAACUUCGAUAAGGUAUCUUGCUUGCUAUUGGUGAUACCAAAUAUCGAAAGUGAUACACAGUCCAUAGUUUUGUUAUAUUGAUACAAAGAACACGACUGUUUCAAGUAUUCCAGUUCGACAGAUAACUGUGAAUAAUAUAAUCUGACAUCUUGGCUGAAAACGAUAAUAAAGUGCAGACAACUCUCACUUCGAGAAUGUCAACAAUGGAUUGGCCCGAUUGUAUUGGAAAGACAUGGCAAGAAGCGGAAGCGAUCAUUCGGAAAGAGUACCCAAACAUUUCGGUGCAGGUUUUACCUAAAGGAUCCAUGGUAACCAUGGACUACCGGCCUGAACGAGUCCGGAUAUUUACCGAUGAAACCGGAAAAGUUGUUGACGUUCCAAUGAUAGGAUGACACAGCUUCCCAUUGAGGGUUACUCCCUAACUGUUAUACCAAUCAUUGGUUUGCAAAACAUUUUAUUUGUGUUUUGACUUUUCCUCAAUCUAAUGGUAAUUCGAAUUGUUGGUACCCUGGUAAUUCAGUGUAAUUUCAUUUUCAGUGCCUAUUGACAACAUUUUUUUUUUUUUUUUACACAGUACCUCAAGCUGUUAACUGUGUAUUUACAAAUAAGUAAGGUUGUCUGCCAGUGACACAAGCUGAUUUAUACCUCAAGCUGUUAACUGUGUAAUUACAAAUAAAUAAGGUUGUCUGCCAGU